rnacentral:rRNA from 1 species
UACGUAGGGGGCAAGCGUUGUCCGGAAUUAUUGGGCGUAAAGAGCGCGUAGGCGGUCCGAUAAGUCGGCUGUGAAAGUCAAGGGCUCAACCCUUGAAAGCCGGCCGAUACUGUCGGACUAGAGUCCGGAAGAGGCGAGUGGAAUUCCCGGUGUAGCGGUGAAAUGCGCAGAUAUCGGGAGGAACACCAAUGGCGAAGGCAGCUCGCUGGGACGGUACUGCCGCUGAGGCGCGAAAGCGUGGGGAGCAAACAGG